GUGCUUUGCUUUGGCAGCAUAUAUACUGGAACAGUACAGAGAAGGUAAGUGUGGCUCCUGCACAAGCAUGAUACAAACAUUUCCUAAAUGUUCCUUUACAAA
rnacentral:snRNA from 1 species